UUCAACCCAGGAGACAUUCCAGUUUGGAGGCCAACCACUGCAUAAGCUGCAGCCGGUCCAGAAGGAGAGUAAGCUACCUUUCUUUGAUCCCACUCCUUAGAUAGGGAAGAGAGUGAAAACAGGCCAAGCCUGGUGGUUGCGAUGGGUUCAAGAAUCUUCUGUGGUGGAACAAACUCUUCUACUGCCUUGAAUUUCUUCUGGAAGUGCAGGGGUCCACCCUCAACCCAUCUUACCAGAGCAAUCCGAGAGGAACGAUUAGGGUCAUACUCUAUCCUUUCUAUAACACCCAUAGAUGAUGAGCUUCUUUUUAGAUCAAUCCUUCGAUGCAACCGCUUUGAUCCACCUCCUCGGUGAAAAAUUGUAACACGCCCUGCGGAAUUCCUACCACCAGUCUUUCCGACAUU
rnacentral:misc_RNA from 1 species